UAAUAUUUUGAAAGACAUAUGUUUCUGUACAUGGCUUUCUAAUGCUCCUUCUAUACAUAUAUAGCUGGUGCUGGUAGGGGGCCUAAACAAAGGAAGGAAUCCCACGGUUGCUGAGUAGGCUUUCUGGUCAACUAGCACUAACCCAGGGGUUCAACAAUUAGAAUUUGUAAUCUUUUUUUUUUUUUUAAUGCUGGAUGAGUAAAUUGAACUUGUAUGUAUUUACCAACAGUUAAGCAUAAUGGAAACUUGACCCUGGACCAGAUGAUUGAUAUUGCCCGCACAAUGAGACCACGUUCCCAGGCAAAGGCCCUCUCAGGUACUCUGAAGGAGGUUCUGGGAAGUGCACAGAGUGUUGGGUGCACAGUCGAAGGACAGAACCCCCAUGACAUCAUUGAGGGUAUUAACGAUGGCAGCGUCGAAGUCCCUGAAGAGUAAGGUGUGGCAUUGCCUGCCAGCCAACACACCAAAGACCCUGGGAGAAGAAUGCACGAAGAGACCAAGAUUCUCUGACCAAGAAUGCAUUUGUUUGGGAUAGCACAUUCCCCUUUGCUCUCAUUCCAUAUUGUGUGAAAAUCUCAUGGGUAAUAAAGUGUGAAGGUGA